AGGAUCUGAUGAUGAGCUCACUGUGGAAGCUGAAGGUUGUGCAAAUUGAAAUGACUCUCCUGCAUGUUUGUGAAAUAGUGCUUUACGAAAACAAUGUCAAGAAAGAGGAUCUAAAGGCCCGAGCAAUGGCCUUGAAAAUUCUCGGGAAAAUAUUUCAGGGAUAAGGAGGCAUUACCUGGGCCAGAGCCAAGGCCGUCAGGGCCAUCAAAACGAACAGUUCUUGAUAAUGACAGCAGUUUAGAUGACAGUUCAGAUGAUGACAUAGCUCGGACGGUGCCAUAUCAAACUCCUGCAUUUACUCUCUGGAGUACCAAAGUUGUCCUCGCAUGCUCUUAGAAUUUGCCAAUCCGCUUUGUAAGGAUAUGUACAUUACACAGUAACUAUUUAAUAGUUGAUACCAAUGGUAAGCAGAGCUUAUCCCAUCGUCUUACCAAAUCUAAAAUAUAUUUACUUUUCUUGCA